ensembl:lncRNA
CCUCCCCCCACCACCACUCUUUUCGGGUGCCCAACUCAGUCACAGUCCCUCAAAGACUGUGUGGUCCAUGAGUUCCAGGUGCAACCAAAGGUCCUAAAGCCUUUAGUCCAAAGCCUUGAGCUCUUUAACGUUUAAGAUGUAUUUUUCUCAACAGUGACAUGGAGAUAAUAUUAGAACCCAGAUAACUGAAAUGUGAGGACGGCAGGAGCUCAGAGAGUCCAGGGUCUUUGGUAGACCUAACACUGAAGAGUGCAGCGAAUGGAAACUGGUCCACGUUGUGGUGGUCAAAGCUGAAGAGCUGUAGCCCUCUCUGCCUUUGUCUCUGCUGUUGAAGUUGGUUCCUUUUACAUAUGUGGAGAUAAUAACUCAAGACCCUCAAGAUUCAAUUUUCUGCCUGUUACCAACGUGCACAGGUCCUGUCAGAUUUUUGCCACCAUCGAUGAAAGGGAACAAAUCUUUUACUUGCUUCACUUAUGAAAUACUGCUUCUGAUAGUUUUGAGAAGUAAAUAGAAAACCUGGCUCCCUGGCAUCCUGCUCUGUUCCCGCUUCAAGCCUCAG